UCCUCGGACCAUGAGGCGGCUUCCAUGGCUUUCGAGGGCCUCCGGCGCCUGGACUACAUUUGAUUCCCUCGGAGUCGCAGGGAAAACUUCUUGCCUGCAAAUCUGCCCGUGAGCGAUGGUAGACAUCUCCUGGAAUGUCGCGUCAGGUAAGAGGAACAGAUAUUCUCACAACACAUCCCAUGAGAACUUUCCCCUCCCUCCUGUACAGGUGUAGGAACUAGUUUCCCCUACCAAGAUUGAGAAAAGGAGGAGAGGAGCGUGUGCAGGUGGGAAACUGGACAUACACUGCAGGAACUCGGCGCCCUACUUAACCAGCACAGGAUCCAUCCAAGUGCACUCAGUUAACUGAAUAUUGCACAGGAAGCGCAGUAGAGAGAUGACAUUUUGUGCACCUGUAGGAAGCAG